rnacentral:rRNA from 1 species
AUUGCACGCUGGCGGCAGGCCUAACACAUGCAAGUAGAACGAGUGGCGGACGGGUGAGUAAUGUCUGGGAAACUGCCCGAUGGAGGGGGAUAACUACUGGAAACGGUAGCUAAUACCGCAUACCAUCGGAUGUGCCCAGCAGGGAGUAGCUAGUAGGUGGGGUAACGGCUCACCUAGGCAACGAUCCCGAGCUGGUCUGAUAGGAUGACCAGCCACACUGGAACUGAGACACGGUCCAGACUCCUACGGGAGGCAGCAGUGGGGAAUAUUGCACAAUGGGCGGAAGCCUGAUGCAGCCAUGCCGCGUGUAUGAAGAAGGCCUUCGGGUUGUAAAGUACUUUCAGCGAGGAGGCGUUACUCGCAGAAGAAGCACCGGCUAACUCCGUGCCAGCAGCCGCGGUAAUAC